UUAACUUUAUUUUUAUUGAUUUUUUGAGUGUGUUUCUUUACUUGUUGGCUACACUUGUUAUGAUUCUCUUUAGGGAACUCAUUAUCUUGUUAUGAACAGCUUGAGUAUGAAUGUGGUGAGA